GAUGAACGCUGGCGGCGUGCCUAAUACAUGCAAGUCGAGCGAACAGAUGAGGAGCUUGCUCCUCUGACGUUAGCGGCGGACGGGUGAGUAACACGUGGAUAACCUACCUAUAAGACUGGGAUAACUUCGGGAAACCGGAGCUAAUACCGGAUAAUAUAUUGAACCGCAUGGUUCAAUAGUGAAAGACGGUUUUGCUGUCACUUAUAGAUGGAUCCGCGCCGCAUUAGCUAGUUGGUAAGGUAACGGCUUACCAAGGCAACGAUGCGUAGCCGACCUGAGAGGGUGAUCGGCCACACUGGAACUGAGACACGGUCCAGACUCCUACGGGAGGCAGCAGUAGGGAAUCUUCCGCACUGGGCGAAAGCCUGACGGAGCAACGCCGCGUGAGUGAUGAAGGUCUUCGGAUCGUAAAACUCUGUUAUUAGGGAAGAACGAAUGUGUAAGUAACUAUGCACGUCUUGACGGUACCUAAUCAGAAAGCCACGGCUAACUACGUG
rnacentral:rRNA from 1 species